GAGAAACUAUCAAGAAAGUAAGUACAAUAAAGUCUUUAACUUAAGGAAGAGUAGAGAGGGACUCCUAGGCCUGCAAACGCGGCAGAUAUACCUCAAAGUCUCUAAAAUCGCCUCACCUCACUGUAAAUAUGGUUGGGAAGAGGUACCUGGAUCUUCACACAAAAAACAUAUGAAGAAAAGGGCAUGAGUACACCACAGCGGUACCUAGUAACUACCAAGCUUAACCUCGAUCGAGUAGUGACAAGAUCAUGUCGGG
rnacentral:lncRNA from 1 species